UACGUAGGUGGCAAGCGUUGUCCGGAUUUACUGGGCGUAAAGAGCUCGUAGGCGGCUUGUCGCGUCGACUGUGAAAACCCGCGGCUCAACUGCGGGCCUGCAGCCGAUACGGGCAGGCUAGAGUUCGGUAGGGGAGACUGGAAUUCCUGGUGUAGCGGUGAAAUGCGCAGAUAUCAGGAGGAACACCUGCGGCGAAGGCGGGUUGCUGGGCCGACACUGACGCUGAGGCGCGAAAGCUAGGGGAGCGAACGGG
rnacentral:rRNA from 1 species